rnacentral:rRNA from 1 species
CGAAAGCCUGACGGAGCAAUACCGCGUGAGGGAAGAAGGUCUUUGGAUCGUAAACCUCUUUUCUCAGGGAAGAAGCUCUGACGGUACCUGAGGAAUCAGCCUCGGCUAACUCCGUGCCAGCAGCCGCGGUAAUACGGAGGAGGCAAGCGUUAUCCGGAAUUAUUGGGCGUAAAGCGUCCGCAGGUGGCGAUUCAAGUCUGCUGUCAAAGCACGGGGCUUAACUCCGUAAAGGCAGUGGAAACUGAAUAGCUAGAGUGCCGUAGGGGUAGAGGGAAUUCCCGGUGUAGCGGUGAAAUGCGUAGAGAUCGGGAAGAACAUCGGUGGCGAAAGCGCCCUACUGGGCCAUAACUGACACUGAGGGACGAAAGCUAGGGUAGCG